rnacentral:rRNA from 1 species
GACGAACGCUGGCGGCGUGCUUAACACAUGCAAGUCGAACGAGAAAGCCCUUCGGGGUAAGUACAGUGGCGAACGGGUGAGUAACACGUGGGCAACCUGCCCCGGAGAGCGGGACAACCCGAGGAAACUCGGGCUAAUACCGCAUGAUGCGUCUCCACUUAAGUGGAGCCGCCAAAUGGUAGCUUCGGCCUCCGCUCUGGGAUGGGCCCGCGCCGGAUUAGCUAGUUGGUUGGGGUAAUGGCCCACCAAGGCGACGAUCCGUAGCUGGUCUGAGAGGACGAUCAGCCACACUGGGACUGAGGCACGGCCCAGACUCCUACGGGAGGCAGCAGUGGGGAAUCUUCCGCAAUGGACGAAAGUCUGACGGAGCAACGCCGCGUGAGUGAAGAAGGUUUUCGGAUCGUAAAGCUCUGUUGUUUGAGACGAAUGUGCCUGUUUCGAAUAGGGAUAGGUAAUGACGGUAUUAAACGAGAAAGCCACGGCUAACUACGUGCCAGCAGCCGCAGUAA